GAUGAAGAACGUAGCGAAAUGCGAUAAGUAGUGUGAAUUGCAGAAUUCAGUGAAUCAUCGAAUCUUUGAACGCACAUUGCGCCCCUUGGUAUUCCAUGGGGCAUGCCUGUUCGAGCGUCAUUUACACCCUCAAGCUCUGCUUGGUGUUGGGCGUCUGUCCCGCUGCUUUGCGCGGACUCGCCUCAAAGGUAUUGGCAGCGAUCAUGCCAGCUUCUCGCGCAGCACACUGCGCUUCUUGAAGUUCUGGUGGAUCAGCGUCCAUUAAGCUUACCUUCAUGACUUGACCUCGGAUCAGGUAGGGAUACCCGCUGAACUUAAGCAUAUCAAUAAGCGGAGGA
rnacentral:misc_RNA from 1 species